rnacentral:rRNA from 164 species
GGGUUGUGAGGUUAAGCGACUAAGCGUACACGGUGGAUGCCCUGGCAGUCAGAGGCGAUGAAGGGCGUGCUAAUCUGCGAUAAGCGCCGGUAAGGUGAUAUGAACCGUUAUAACCGGCGAUACCCGAAUGGGGAAACCCAGUGUGACUCGUCACACUAUCAUUAACUGAAUCCAUAGGUUAAUGAGGCGAACCGGGGGAACUGAAACAUCUAAGUACCCCGAGGAAAAGAAAUCAACCGAGAUUCCCCCAGUAGCGGCGAGCGAACGGGGAGGAGCCCAGAGCCUGAAUCAGCAUGUGUGUUAGUGGAAGCGUCUGGAAAGGCGCGCGAUACAGGGUGACAGCCCCGUACACAAAAGCGCAUGUGCUGUGAGCUCGAUGAGUAGGGCGGGACACGUGGUAUCCUGUCUGAAUAUGGGGGGACCAUCCUCCAAGGCUAAAUACUCCUGACUGACCGAUAGUGAACCAGUACCGUGAGGGAAAGGCGAAAAGAACCCCGGCGAGGGGAGUGAAAAAGAACCUGAAACCGUGUACGUACAAGCAGUGGGAGCACCCUUUGGGUGUGACUGCGUACCUUUUGUAUAAUGGGUCAGCGACUUAUAUUCUGUAGCAAGGUUAACCGAAUAGGGGAGCCGGAGGGAAACCGAGUCUUAACCGGGCGUUAAGUUGCAGGGUAUAGACCCGAAACCCGGUGAUCUAGCCAUGGGCAGGUUGAAGGUUGGGUAACACUAACUGGAGGACCGAACCGACUAAUGUUGAAAAAUUAGCGGAUGACCUGUGGCUGGGGGUGAAAGGCCAAUCAAACCGGGAGAUAGCUGGUUCUCCCCGAAAGCUAUUUAGGUAGCGCCUCGUGAAUUCAUCUCCGGGGGUAGAGCACUGUUUCGGCUAGGGGGCCAUCCCGGCUUACCAACCCGAUGCAAACUGCGAAUACCGGAGAAUGUUAUCACGGGAGACACACGGCGGGUGCUAACGUCCGUCGUGAAGAGGGAAACAACCCAGACCGCCAGCUAAGGUCCCAAAGUCAUGGUUAAGUGGGAAACGAUGUGGGAAGGCCCAGACAGCCAGGAUGUUGGCUUAGAAGCAGCCAUCAUUUAAAGAAAGCGUAAUAGCUCACUGGUCGAGUCGGCCUGCGCGGAAGAUGUAACGGGGCUAAACCAUGCACCGAAGCUGCGGCAGCGACACUGUGUGUUGUUGGGUAGGGGAGCGUUCUGUAAGCCUGCGAAGGUGGCCUGUGAGGGUUGCUGGAGGUAUCAGAAGUGCGAAUGCUGACAUAAGUAACGAUAAAGCGGGUGAAAAGCCCGCUCGCCGGAAGACCAAGGGUUCCUGUCCAACGUUAAUCGGGGCAGGGUGAGUCGACCCCUAAGGCGAGGCCGAAAGGCGUAGUCGAUGGGAAACGGGUUAAUAUUCCCGUACUUGGUGUUACUGCGAAGGGGGGACGGAGAAGGCUAUGUUGGCCGGGCGACGGUUGUCCCGGUUUAAGCGUGUAGGUGUGUGUUCCAGGUAAAUCCGGUUCACUUUAACACUGAGGCGUGACGACGAGGCACUACGGUGCUGAAGCAACAAAUGCCCUGCUUCCAGGAAAAGCCUCUAAGCAUCAGGUAACAUCAAAUCGUACCCCAAACCGACACAGGUGGUCAGGUAGAGAAUACCAAGGCGCUUGAGAGAACUCGGGUGAAGGAACUAGGCAAAAUGGUGCCGUAACUUCGGGAGAAGGCACGCUGACACGUAGGUGAAGUGAUUUACUCAUGGAGCUGAAGUCAGUCGAAGAUACCAGCUGGCUGCAACUGUUUAUUAAAAACACAGCACUGUGCAAACACGAAAGUGGACGUAUACGGUGUGACGCCUGCCCGGUGCCGGAAGGUUAAUUGAUGGGGUCAGCGCAAGCGAAGCUCCUGAUCGAAGCCCCGGUAAACGGCGGCCGUAACUAUAACGGUCCUAAGGUAGCGAAAUUCCUUGUCGGGUAAGUUCCGACCUGCACGAAUGGCGUAAUGAUGGCCAGGCUGUCUCCACCCGAGACUCAGUGAAAUUGAACUCGCUGUGAAGAUGCAGUGUACCCGCGGCAAGACGGAAAGACCCCGUGAACCUUUACUAUAGCUUGACACUGAACAUUGAGCCUUGAUGUGUAGGAUAGGUGGGAGGCUUUGAAGUGUGGACGCCAGUCUGCAUGGAGCCGACCUUGAAAUACCACCCUUUAAUGUUUGAUGUUCUAACGUGGACCCGUUACCCGGGUUGCGGACAGUGUCUGGUGGGUAGUUUGACUGGGGCGGUCUCCUCCUAAAGAGUAACGGAGGAGCACGAAGGUUGGCUAAUCCUGGUCGGACAUCAGGAGGUUAGUGCAAUGGCAUAAGCCAGCUUGACUGCGAGCGUGACGGCGCGAGCAGGUGCGAAAGCAGGUCAUAGUGAUCCGGUGGUUCUGAAUGGAAGGGCCAUCGCUCAACGGAUAAAAGGUACUCCGGGGAUAACAGGCUGAUACCGCCCAAGAGUUCAUAUCGACGGCGGUGUUUGGCACCUCGAUGUCGGCUCAUCACAUCCUGGGGCUGAAGUAGGUCCCAAGGGUAUGGCUGUUCGCCAUUUAAAGUGGUACGCGAGCUGGGUUUAGAACGUCGUGAGACAGUUCGGUCCCUAUCUGCCGUGGGCGCUGGAGAACUGAGGGGGGCUGCUCCUAGUACGAGAGGACCGGAGUGGACGCAUCACUGGUGUUCGGGUUGUCAUGCCAAUGGCACUGCCCGGUAGCUAAAUGCGGAAGAGAUAAGUGCUGAAAGCAUCUAAGCACGAAACUUGCCCCGAGAUGAGUUCUCCCUGAGACUUAGAGUCUCCUGAAGGAACGUUGAAGACGACGACGUUGAUAGGCCGGGUGUGUAAGCGCAGCGAUGCGUUGAGCUAACCGGUACUAAUGAACCGUGAGGCUUAACCUUACAACGCCGAAG